rnacentral:SRP_RNA from 1 species
GCAAAAAUGGGAGAGAGGUCAGGAGGCUGAGGCUGGAGGAUCUCUUGAGCCCAGGAGUUCUGGGCUGUAGUGCGCUAUGCCGAUUGGGUGUCCGCACUAAGUUCGGCAUCAGUAUGGUAACCUCCCGGGAGUGGGGGACCACCAGGUUGCCUAAGGGGUGAACCGGCCCAGGUCGGAAAUGGAGCAGGUCAGAACUCCUGUGCUGAUCAGUAGUGGGAUUGUGCCUGUGAAUAGCCACUGCACUCCGGCCUGGGUGACAGAGCAAGACUGUCUAA